rnacentral:rRNA from 1 species
AGUUCGGAUUGUAGUCUGCAACCCGACUACAUGAAGCUGGAAUCGCUAGUAAUCGCGAAUCAGAAUGUCGCGGUGAAUACGUUCCCGGGUCUUGUACACACCGCCCGUCACACCAUGGGAGUCGGAAAUGCCCGAAGUCUGUGACCCAACCUACGGGAGGGAGCAGCCGAAGGCAGGUCGGAUGACUGGGGUGAAGUCGUAACAAGGUACC